rnacentral:tRNA from 1 species
AAGGAUUUAGGUUAAACAAACCAAAAGCCUUCAAAGCUUUUAAUAAGAGUGAAAAUCUUUUAAUCCUUA